UACAGAGGGGGCAAGCGUUGUUCGGAAUUACUGGGCGUAAAGGGCGCGUAGGCGGCCCGCUAAGUCGAACGUGAAAUCCCCGGGCUCAACCCGGGAACUGCGUCCGAUACUGGCAGGCUUGAAUCCGGGAGAGGGAUGUGGAAUUCCAGGUGUAGCGGUGAAAUGCGUAGAUAUCUGGAGGAACACCGGUGGCGAAGGCGGCAUCCUGGACCGGUAUUGACGCUGAUGCGCGAAAGCCAGGGGAGCAAACGGG
rnacentral:rRNA from 1 species